rnacentral:tRNA from 1 species
UGCCGAGAUGAGGAACAGGAAAACCUCCACAGACA